rnacentral:sRNA from 1 species
UUUUGUACAGUGGAUGGGAUGCAUCCCAC